CUAUACAUGACUCUGCGCAUAUCAAUAAGCGGAGGAAAAGAAACUAACAAGGAUUCCCCUAGUAACGGCGAGUGAAGCGGGAAGAGCUCAAAUUUGAAAUCUUAAAGGGUUUCCCUUUACGAAUUGUAGUUUAAAGAAGUGUUUUUCUGUUGAGGUUUUGGUAAAAGUUCUUUGGAAUAGGACAUCAUAGAGGGUGAGAAUCCCGUAUUUGACCAUUUACUUUUCAGCUUUGUGAUACACUUUACAAAGAGUCGGAUUGUUUGGGAAUGCAGUCCAAAAUGGGUGGUAAAUUUCAUCUAAAGCUAAAUAUUGGCGAGAGACCGAUAGCGAACAAGUACCGUGAGGGAAAGAUGAAAAGAACUUUGAAAAGAGAGUUAAACAGUACGUGAAAUUGUCAAAAGGGAAGCGUUUGACACCAGUGUUGUUUUUCUGAAAAUCAAUUAAAGAACUGUUUAUGCUAAGUUGUUUAGACUUUAUCAGCUAACUGUUUAGUUUUGAGCUUUUCUUUAAUGCACUUUUCAGUUAACAAGUCAACAUCAAUUUCUUUUGCUGUAAAAAAAGCUUGAGGAAGGUGGCUUGAGAUUCGUCUUAAGUGUUUACUAGCCUCUUGCCUAUGCAGUCGGAGAGAUUGAGGUCUGCAGCGUAGAUCCUUCGGGGCUAAAUGCAUUUGUGCUAAGUUAUAGCAUUUUAUAGACAACUUGUUGACUAUGAUUUGUCUUGUAGCUUACUCGCUUAUGUUAUUUUACCUACGCUUAGGAUGUUGACAGCAGUAUAGACUGU
rnacentral:rRNA from 1 species